rnacentral:rRNA from 1 species
UACGUAGGGACCAAGCGUUGUUCGGAUUUACUGGGCGUAAAGGGCGCGUAGGCGGCAUGACAAGUCACUUGUGAAAUCUCCGGGCUUAACUCGGAACGGCCAAGUGAUACUGUCGCGCUAGAGUGCGGAAGGGGCAAUCAGAAUUCUUGGUGUAGCGGUGAAAUGCGUAGAUAUCAAGAGGAAUACCUGAGGUGAAGACGGGUUGCUAGGCCGACACUGACGCUGAGGCGCGAAAGCCAGGGGAGCAAACGGG